GAUGAACGCUGGCGGCGUGGAUAAGGCAUGCAAGUCAAACGGCAGCGGACCUUCGGGUGCCGGCGAGUGGCGAACGGGUGAGUAAUGCAUCGGAACGUACCUUUCAGUGGGGGAUAACGUAGCGAAAGUUACGCUAAUACCGCAUAUUCUGUGAGCAGGAAAGCAGGGGAUCGCAAGACCUUGCGCUGAUUGAGCGGCCGAUGUCAGAUUAGCUAGUUGGUGAGGUAAAGGCUCACCAAGGCGACGAUCUGUAGCGGGUCUGAGAGGAUGAUCCGCCACACUGGGACUGAGACACGGCCCAGACUCCUACGGGAGGCAGCAGUGGGGAAUUUUGGACAAUGGGGGCAACCCUGAUCCAGCCAUGCCGCGUGAGUGAAGAAGGCCUUCGGGUUGUAAAGCUCUUUCGGCCGGGAAGAAAUCGCACAGGCUAAUACCUUGUGUGGAUGACGGUACCGGAAUAAGAAGCACCGGCUAACUACGUGCCAGCCGCCGCGGUAA
rnacentral:rRNA from 1 species